rnacentral:rRNA from 1 species
CGCGGCCUAUCAGCUUGUUGGUGAGGUAAUGGCUCACCAAGGCAUCGACGGGUAGCUGGUCUGAGAGGACGAUCAGCCACACUGGGACUGAGACACGGCCCAGACUCCUACGGGAGGCAGCAGUAGGGAAUCUUGCGCAAUGGGCGAAAGCCUGACGCAGCAAUGCCGCGUGCGGGACGAAGGCCCUAGGGUCGUAAACCGCUUUCAGUAGGGACGAAAAUGACGGUACCUGCAGAAGAAGCUCCGGCCAACUACGUGCCAGCAGCCGCGGUGAUACGUAGGGAGCAAGCGUUGUCCGGAAUUACUGGGCGUAAAGGGCUCGUAGGUGGUUUGUCGCGUUGUCCGUGAAAACUCACAGCUCAACUGUGGGCGUGCGGGCGAUACGGGCAGACUGGAGUACUGCAGGGGAGACUGGAAUUCCUGGUGUAGCGGUGGAAUGCGCAGAUAUCAGGAGGAACACCGAUGGCGAAGGCAGGUCUCUGGGCCAUAACUGACGCUGAGAAGCGAAAGCAUGGGGAGCGAACAGGAUUAGAUACCCUGGUAGUCCAUGCCGUAAACGUUGGGCGCUAGGUGUGGGGCUCAUUCCACGAGCUCCGUGCCGCAGCUAACGCAUUAAGCGCCCCGCCUGGGGAGUACGGA